UACGGGGGGGCAAGCGUUGUUCGGAAUUACUGGGCGUAAAGGGCGCGUAGGCGGCCUGCUAAGUCGGAUGUGAAAUCCCUCGGCUCAACCGGGGAACUGCAUCCGAGACUGGCGGGCUCGAAUCCGGGAGAGGGAUGUGGAAUUCCAGGUGUAGCGGUGAAAUGCGUAGAUAUCUGGAGGAACACCGGUGGCGAAGGCGGCAUCCUGGACCGGCAUUGACGCUGAGGCGCGAAAGCCAGGGGAGCAAACGGG
rnacentral:rRNA from 1 species